rnacentral:tRNA from 1 species
ACCAAGGAAUGUCGGAGAAAGCCCGUCUAGCUCAGUCGGUAGAGCGCUUGGCUCUUAACCAAGUGGUCGAGGG